UGAAAUCUGAAUGUCCGGACCUA
rnacentral:siRNA from 1 species